UAAGAUAAAGAGAUAUACUAGUUAGAUUUUUAUGUGGUAUUAUUUGCACAAUUACAAUGCAUGGACAUUGUCUGCAUAAAGAAAGUGUGAUUUCUGAACCUAUGUAUUUGUAGUACUGGAUUUAGUAUAAAGUGUUGCUUAAUUAGUUUCUUGAAGGUAUCAUAGAAACUUAUGUCUUUCAGAUCUGUUUCUAAUUUGUUCCACACAUCAACUCCUUUAUUUGAAAAAUGUGUUUUACAUAAUUUGUUCUCUUAUAACAUUUAAAAAGUUUUGAUGCG